AGACACAGCAGGAGCAUAAGCCAUUACCUGAAAAACAACCAAAGUGGGACUUGUGUGUGGCGACCUGUGAGAGGGCCUGGGCGUAGGUGGCAGAGUUCAGGAGUGUGCCUGGUAUACAAGAUGGGAAGAACGGACCACUUGGACCCACUGUCCUGUUCAUACUGGGAAAAAAAGGCAUACUAUUUUAAAUUAUCUUGUGAAGAAAAAGAAUUGACAAAUUAUUCUAUUAAUACACAUACAUUUCUAGGAUUUUUUUGCAACUAUUUUAUAACUUUUAUCUUACUACAACAUGCACGGCAGAGCCGCCUUACUCUGCUUUGGUUGUUUCUUUAUCAAAUUAGUGGGACAGUUUAAUUUACAGAAAUUAAGUAGAUGGUCGUUAGUGUUUCUUGGUUUUAGUUUUUAAAGGAAAGGAUAUUGCCUCUUAUUUAUUUCCAUCAUUCAAAUUAACCAGCCUGCAAAUUUGGGACAUAAGAAGCUUUCUGCCACUAGUAUGAUACUGUUUUACAACAGCUACAAGAAUGAUAUAUCUGUAUUGUCUCACCUCUGCUGCAUCUCCAGCGGGUCUUUCUGCUUUCUGCCGUGGUCCACAGGGGACUGAGAGUUGAUGCGAGAUGGAGGAGUGCCGUCACUCAUCUGCUCUUUUCCUCCUUCAGGGUCUGCGCUCCCUCGCUCUGUCUUCCUCCACUUUGCUCUGCGGUUCUGAAACCAAACCUGCAUUACAAAAAGAAAGACAAUUAAAUUAAAUCACCAAUUAAAACUGGAAAUUGGCUGCUACUCCUGACAUAUUAGCAUCCAUUUAGUUUAUUUAUUGAAGGCAGCUUUAUACUCAUGGUCAAUUGAUUCUUAUCAAGUUCUUAAUUUCUCUUGUAAAAUAUUUUUGGCAUAUCGCAGAUAAACCAAUACAAACUUAA